GACGAACGCUGGCGGCGUGCUUAACACAUGCAAGUCGAACGGAAAGGCCCUGCUUUUGUGGGGUGCUCGAGUGGCGAACGGGUGAGUAACACGUGAGUUACCUGCCCUUGACUUUGGGAUAACUUCAGGAAACUGGGGCUAAUACCGGAUAGGAGCUCCUGCUGCAUGGUGGGGGUUGGAAAGUUUCGGCGGUUGGGGAUGGACUCGCGGCUUAUCAGCUUGUUGGUGGGGUAGUGGCUUACCAAGGCUUUGACGGGUAGCCGGCCUGAGAGGGUGACCGGCCACAUUGGGACUGAGAUACGGCCCAGACUCCUACGGGAGGCAGCAGUGGGAAAUAUUGCACAAUGGGCGGAAGCCUGAUGCAGCAACGCCGCGUGCGGGAUGACGGCCUUCGGGUUGUAAACCGCUUUCGCCUGUGACGAAGCGUGAGUGACGGUAAUGGGUAAAGAAGCACCGGCUAACUACGUG
rnacentral:rRNA from 1 species